CUGAGUGCUCAUGCUUAGCAUGGGCUUUUAUCAAGAGUAAAAAUCUUGAGGAAUAAGUGGUGGGUAAGACUGGUGCCAGCCGCCGCGGUAAUCCCAGCGCCACAAGUCGCAAUCACGUUUAUUGGGUCUAAAGCAUCCGUAGCCGGCUCGUUAAAUUUCCUGUGAAAUUGUUAGGCUUAACCUAACAACGUGCAGGGAACACUGGCGAGCUUGGGACCAGGAGAGGUUGAAGGUAUUCUACGGGGAGCGGUAAAAUGUUAUAAUCCGUAGAGGACCACCAAUGGCGAAGGCAUUCAACCAGAAUGGAUCUGACGGUGAGGGAUGAAAGCUAGGGGAGCGAUCCGGAUUAGAUACCCGAGUAGUCCUAGCCGUAAACGCUGCGAGCCAGAUGUUGCAUAUUCUUCGGGAAUAUGCAGUGUCGCAACGAAGGUGUUAAGCUCGCCACCUGGGAAGUACGGUCGCAAGGCUGAAACUUAAAGGAAUUGGCGGGGGAGCACCACAAGGGGUGCGGCGUGCGGUUCAAUUGAAUUCAACGUCGGAAACCUCACCAGGGGCGCCGGCACUGUGAAGGUCAGUCUGAAGGGCUUACCUGAGGAGCCGAGAGGUGUUGUAUGGUCACCGUCAGCUCGUGCCGUGAGGUGUCCUGUUAAGUCAGGCAACGAGCGAGACCUGCAUCCAUAGUUGCUAACGUGCCAGAAAUGGUGAGCGAGCACACUAUGGGGAUGCCCUCCCAAAAGGGGGGAGGAAGGUGCAGGCCACGGUAGAUCAGUAUGGCCCGAACCUCCUGGGCUACACGCGCGCAACAUUGGUAGAGACAAUGGGAUGCAACUCCGAAAGGAGAAGCCAAACCUCGAAACUCUACCUUGGUACAGAUUGAGGGUUGCAACUCACCCUCAUGACGGCGGAAUCCCUAGUAAUCAGACGUUAGCAUCGUCCGGUGAAUAUGUCCCUG
rnacentral:rRNA from 1 species